CAAUCUGUUACUUUUUGGUUUGGUUUGGUAUUGAUGCAGACUCUCACUCUGUACUACAGGCCGUCCUGAAGUUUGCUCUAAUGGCCGCAGACUCUCAAACAUCCUCCUGUCUCACAGCCUUCCCAAAUGCAGAGAUUGCAGGUUUGAGCUAACAAACCCUGCUUAGUCUCUCUCUCUCUCUCUCUCUCUCUCUCUCUCUCUCUCUCUCUCUCUCUCUCUCUCUUUUGCAAGCUCCAGGACACUUUGUCUCCAAGAUGUUGAUGGCAGCCACCAAUAUCCACUACUCUUGGAUCAAAGCUCAGAGCAGGAGACAUAAGGUUCCUCGGGCUUCGAUUGAGACACUGUGUCCAUCAAUCCCCACACGCGGCAUCUCCUUGAGACUGUUCCCUGCUCUCCACUGUCACCCGCAGCAGUCAGAGUAGUUUUCUAGGCACCUUGACUCAAGGAAACCGGAAUGGACGGCUCUGGUGCUAAAAGGAAUCUCAGGACUAGCUAAUAUGAAGCAAAGAGAUUUUAAUGAGAUAUUUGAAGCCUGAGGGUUGGGAGAAAGAGAGACACUCAGAGGAUGGGAGACACACCGGAGACCAAGAGUCUGGGACUUUCAAGGAAGAAUAAGACAGAGCAAGCGAGGGCCCAGGCACCUCAUGGGGGGGGUAUCCCAGCCCCUGGUGUUUUUCAAUGGUCAUGUGUAGGAUGUUGUAGGGUUUUGGUUGCUAAGAAACCUAGGUGAGGUCACUGGGUGGUUCCCAAGGCAGCAUCUGACAGGAUUAAGAUUGAUGAGGUAGAAACCAACCCAUAGGGAUACAGGAAGGUAGGCUAUCUUUAACUGUAAACAGCUUCAAGUUCUGUUUGGAGAGUUUCAGGAAAUAUCUACGGGAAGGAAAGAUGCCCACCCAAGGUCAUAUGGGUUCAAACUUUAAACCUGAGUCAUUAUUAUUGGCACAUAAAGGACUAUUUUUACAUUUGCAGGAUGUGUUAACUGUAUCAGAACCUCCAGAGCCAGAGUUAGAGGCAGUUGUAGGCUCUCUGAAGUGAGUGCUAGGAACCAAAUUCAGGUCCUCUUUGAGAGCAGUAAACACUCUUAGCCACUGAGCCAUCUCUCUAGCCUCUCUUCCUUCCUUUCUUUCUUUCUCUCUUUCUUUCUUUCUUUCUUCCUUCCUUCCUCCUUUUUUUUUAAGAUUUAUUUAUUGUCAUAUGUGAGUACACUGUAGCUGUCUUCAGACACACCAGAAGGAGGUGUCAGAUCUCAUUACAGAUGGCUGUGAACCACCAUGUGGUUGCUGGGAUUUGAGCUCAGGACCUCUGGAAGAGCAGUUGGUGCUCUUAACUACUGAGCCGGCUCUCCAAGCCCAGGUCCUUCUUUUUUAUUACCUCUUAUAUAACUACUUAAUCUUCUGGUUUGUUGAAGCAGUUAAGUCAGACAACCCUUGCCUGACUUAAUGCCUGUCAAAGUGGCUACCCUUGAAAACUCCAGCACCACACUCAUCACAAGGCCGUUCUCGACGUAGCAGCUCUGAGAGAAAAGGUAUCCUGGCAGUCGGGAGCCAAGAAAUACUACCAAGUCACACCACACAACAAACCUCACACAAGAGGUUUAUGGGGAAAGACACCUGAGGGUGCCCACCGCGGCUCUGAGAGAAGCAACAAACAACUAAGCAAGAGGCAGGCUUUAUGGUGAAGCUUGGCUGCCUGCAUCUUGAGGGACUAGAAAUGGCCAUUAUGGCCCUUUAGAGCAGCGGGGGUGGGGUUGGGGAGCUGGGACCAGCCAUUCUAGCCCCAGGGGGGUAGGACCUGGCCACUAGGUGGGCUUAUGGAUUCCAUGGUCCUCAGAUGGUUCUGGGAAUUGAGUCUGGGUGCUCUGGAAAAACCAGCAAGUGUUCAACUGCUGGGCCAUCUCUCCAGGUCUUCACCCUGAAUCUGUGAAGUACUUGCUGCACGCCAGAGCCUGUCCUGAGGCUGCAUGGGCACACAUUUCCCACGCCUGCCUGCUUUGAGAGAUGUGACCUGUGACAGCCUUUCUGUGGCAUUCUUGGGAGAGACUUGCAUUUUCCCAUCUCAGCUACUCAGUGUGUGGAUUUGAAUUAACUGUGUGUUAAGCCUCCCUCUACGCUUUUCAAAUCUGAAAACUGCACCUAGUUCUCUGGCCCUUGUAAAGAUUAAAACAGAAUAUGAGACAGCUCAGAGGUUAAGAAUACUGGCUGCGGGCUGGAGAGAUAGCCCAGCAGUUAAGAGCACUGACUGCUCUUCCAGAGAUCCUGAGUUCAAUUCCCA
rnacentral:lncRNA from 1 species